GACGAACGCUGGCGGCGUGCCUAACACAUGCAAGUCGAACGGAACUUCUUUAAAGGAUUUCUUCGGAAUGAAUUUGAUUAAGUUUAGUGGCGGACGGGUGAGUAACGCGUGAGUAACCUGCCUCUGAGAGGGGAAUAACAUUCUGAAAAGAAUGCUAAUACCGCAUAAUAUAUAUUUAUCGCAUGGUAGAUAUAUCAAAGAUUUAUCGCUUAGAGAUGGACUCGCGUCCGAUUAGUUAGUUGGUGAGGUAACGGCUCACCAAGACCGCGAUCGGUAGCCGGACUGAGAGGUUGAACGGCCACAUUGGGACUGAGACACGGCCCAGACUCCUACGGGAGGCAGCAGUGGGGGGUAUUGCGCAAUGGGGGAAACCCUGACGCAGCAACGCCGCGUGAAGGAUGAAGGUCUUCGGAUUGUAAACUUCUUUUAUUAAGGACGAAGAAAGUGACGG
rnacentral:rRNA from 1 species